rnacentral:SRP_RNA from 2 species
GCCUGGUGUGGUGGUGCACACCUGUGGUCCCAGCUACUUGGGAGGCUGAGGCAGGAGGAUCACUUGAGCCAGGGAGAUCUAGGCUGCAGUGAGCAGUGAUGAUGCCACUGUACUCCAGCCUGGGUGACAGAGUGAGACCUUGUCUCAA